GGCUCAUUGGUCUAGGGGUAUGAUUCUUGCGUUGGGUGCAAGAGGUCCCGGGUUCAAAUUCCUGAUGAGCCC